AUGGAGAAGAAGCCGCAAGACAUCAAGACACUGCCUCACUGUGGGGUGAGGCAGGCCGAGAGAAUCCAGCUGCCAGCCCUGCCGCCUUUGCCAAGGCAGGCAGCGACUCAGGCAGCAGCACCCAAGCAAGUGCCUGCAGCACAGGCAUCAUCGUCUGAAAGGGCCACUUGCAAGCUGCCCCCUCUGCAAGCAGCAGCCUCUGCUUCUUCAGGGGGAGGAAGGGCAAAGUCAUUGGGAACAGAGGCCCGCAGCCAGCAAGAGCUUUUGCCACCUCUUCCCUGCAUCUCUGGCAACAGGGACAGAGCAGUGAGGGCAGAGAGGCGGGAACGUGGCCCACACAGCCCUGUGGCCCCUGACGAGGACAUGGGCAAUGCAAUACGGUCCUUCGUGUCCACUGUUAUAACAAACGCUCUAGCCUGCAAUGAGGGAGCCAGCAGCAAGGCAAGGCUUUCUCCCUCAAGCAGAGGUCCCAGGACCAAAGGCCCCACAACACCACCUCUCGCCACAGCAGCGGCCCAAAACUGGAAGAGUCGGCAGUCGUCCAAAAGCAGCCUUGCAUCCCCUGCCGAAGAAAUGGAUGACCGAAUAAAGGCCUUUGUCUCCACUGCAAUAAGAAAUGGCCUUGCCUGGAACCAGGGAGCCAUGAGGGAGGCAAGGCUUCCUCCCGUGGGCAGACCUCCCACGAGCAAAGGACACAGUACACCACCUCAGCCCGCAACUGGGCCCCAGAAUUUAAAGAAGAGCUGGCACCCUGCCCCACACAGCCCUGCAGACUCUUGCACGGCACUGCAGGACACAGCACACUCCCGCGUGUCUGAAGUGCUGGAGAAGACGCAAAAAAGCUGGGAACACGGCCAACGAUCAGCAGCACUUGGGGACCUGGCACAAACGGGGUGCAAAUUGAGAGCAACAAGUUCAGCCGGGGUCCAGACAGACCUGGAGAGGACGUGGACGACUUCUCUGCCAGGGCCUGAUUCCCGGGUAUGCGCAGGAGCAAGGGCUUCCAGCAGAGACCCUGCAGCAGCUAGCCCAGGCCAGGGUAAGAAGAAAAAACAACAGAGAGAGAAACACAUCAAACCCAGGCAGGGGACAGGAAAUGAGGGGACAAGCCAAGGCCGGGGCAAGAAAGAGAGCAGUCCUGGGGGAUGCGAUGAAGAGGAGGAGAUCGUCAUCAUCAACUCCUGGAUCAACCCCAGGUACGCCAGCCUCUUCACAGACCCACAGGAUGUUCCCCAGGAAGAGGGCAGCGCAGCCAGCAGUGUGGACAGGGAGGCAGCACAAGAAGCAAAACACUCAGCAAGCGCCUCUCCUGGCUCGCUGCAAACCAUGGACACUGUCCCAUCAGCUGCUCCCCAGGAAGAAAUUCCUGGGGAAGAGAGGCACAGCACGCCUCUCACUUCAACAACAGCAGCACAGAGCAGGCCAGCAAGUCCUCCAGCAGCCCCUGCUCUGGAAGAUGAGGGACACAGGACGCCUCCCCUGACACGUGGGGCUCCACAGUCAAAACCAGCAGCCUCUCCAAGCCCCAGUGAGCACAGCACUGCAGUGAUGGUUGAGAGCCAGGGACGUGCCCGACAUGCCUCCAGUGCCUGUGAUGACGAGCUGGAUGAAGGAGUCAAGACCAUCGUUUCCACAGUCAUACGCCGUGCUGCAGCCAUGAGCCAGGGAGCCCCAAGCAAGGCACCAAGUACUCCCUCGGCCACAGGACCCAGCGUGCCUCCUCCCACAGCAGAGCCUGCAGACUCUACAUCCUCAGCAUCUGCCUUGGCUGGAGCACUGGGGGACCUGGCACACACGGGGAGCACAGGGAGAGCAACGAGAUCAGCCGGGGUCCAGACAGACCUGGAGAGGAGGCGGACCACUGCUCUGCCAGGACCUGAUUCCGGGAUAUGCGCAGGAGCAAGGGCUUCCAGCAGAGACCCUGCAGCAGCUAGCCCAGGCCAGGGUAAGAAGAAAAAACAACAGAGAGAGAAACACAUCAAACCCAGGCAGGGGACAGGAAACGAGGGGACAAGCCAAGGCCGGGGCAAGAAAGAGAGCAGUCCUGGGGGAUGCGAUGAAGAGGAGGAGAUCGUCAUCAUCAACUCCUGGAUCAACCCCAGGUUCGCCAGCCUCUUCACAGACCCACAGGAYGUUCCCCAGGAAGAGGGCAGCGCAGCCAGCAGUGUGGACAGGGAGGCAGCACAAGAAGCAGAACACCCAGCAAGCGCCUCUCCUGGCUCGCUGCAAACCACGGAUGCUGUCCCAUCAGCUGCUCCCCAGGAAGAAAUUCCUGGGGAAGAGAGGCACAGCACGCCUCUCACCACAACAACACCGGCACAGAGCAGGCCAGCAAGUCCUCCAGCAGCCCCUGCUCUGGAAGAUGAGGGACACAGAGCGCCUCCCCUGACAUGUGGGGCUCAACAGUCGAAGCCAUCAGCCCGUGCAAGCCCCAGUGAGCACAGCGCUGCCGUGAUGGUGGAGAGCCAGGGACGUGCCCGACAUGCCUGCAGUGUCUCUGAUGAAGAGCUGGAUGAAAGAGUUGACACCAUCGUGGCUGCAGUCCUACUCCACUCUGUAGCCAUCAUCCAGGGAGCGGGAGCCCCAAGCAAGGCAGCAAGUGCUCCCUGGGUCACAGUGCCCAGGGUGCCUCCUCCCACACCAGAGCCUGCAGAAUGUACAUCCUUGGCUUCUGCCUUGGCCAGAGGCCCUGUGGGGGAGGCCAGUGAAGCCCCUCUCGCUGCAGCAGCAACGCCACAAGAAGAAGGUGGAGAAGGGGCUUCUCCUUUGGCUGCAGAGCCUCUCCGGGAGGCCAUCACAGAUCUCCGCCCAGCAGCAGCUGACAAAGCAGGAGCAGCAGCCACUCCCUUGGUUCCUGGGCACCAGGUGGCCAUCGAGCAGGGAGGCCAAGCACAGUCCUCCUCCUGCACCAAAGAUACGCCAGCGGAUGAGCCAGCAACGUCCCAGACACAAGCGCCGUCCCAGGAUCUGUUGGCCGGGCCUGUUCAGCGCAGCGAGCAGCAGCAAGCACAAGGUUGGCAGCACCACGCGCAGGGGGGCUGGCUGGUCCUGGGCCACCCCUCCCCGGGGAAAGGCCUUGGAGGGGGGGACAGGCUCGCCCAGCACCCGCUCAGGCCCUAACCUACACCUCUGUGUCCCCCACAGGCAUCCUUGACCUCGCACAAGCCCCGGCGCGCCAGCCACGGCCCUCCCGCAUCAGGAGGGCACUUCGUGCUCUGCGCAGGGCUUUCCGCUGCAGCUGCAUCGCAGGACAGCGAGAGUAGCCGCGCCCGGCUGUGCCAGUCCCAGGAGGAUGCUCGGAGCUGGCAGCUGGCCCUCAGGAAGCUUUGCAGCGCCCACGGAAGCAUCACUGCGAGGCACAGGACAGCGCCCCAGGAAUUCAGAUGCCCCACCACAUCCUGCCCCCAGCCUCAGCUCAGCUGCAGCUGCUUUCUGCUUUCUGCUCUGAAUAAAAGCUCAGGCAGACUUUUGCCCCCA
rnacentral:lncRNA from 1 species